AAACCACACUCACACACCCUUAAUAUGUUCAUGCCAUGCCCUGAGUAUGUUGAUGGCUUGAUCCUACUAUUAAAACAGUGAUUGGACUUUGGACUUUUGUGCAUUCUUACCGAUGUCCUGUGAUGAUCCCAACUAAGUCGGAACCAGGCAAUACAGUCCAUAAACCUAAUUAACAUUGGUCCUUCGAGCCGGAUCGGUGAUUGCCACAGGUUAAGAUGUCCAAAGCCCAUUCAGAGUCACAGUGUGAGCCUGAAGUCCGUAGUAGAUGACCAUCACGGCCCCCACGCCACUUGGAAGAUUAUGAGGUGGAUUACAGCGGCUUCCAGCAUACAUAUCCACCUACUUCCAGGAUGCAAACAGAGCCUUACCGCUGGGAGUCAGGGAAUGAGGGUGCUGUCGGGAUGACACCCUUCACCAGGUGGCAUGCUACUCACCGCGGUGAUGUUACUGAGGAUACUGGAGAUCAGUAUGUACCACAAGAUGCUCAAACAGUGAUUUGGCAGCUACGAGAAGAGAACAGACGCCUGCAUAAAACCAUUGAGGACAUGAAACACAGCUCAGAAAGGGAGGAAACCGACUCAUCACAGUGUCCUGUGCCUUUUCCUCGCACUCACUCAUCGACAAAGGCAGCAAAGAAACCUUCUCCUGUCCCAACUCCACGUCUAAGCAAGUUAGCAGUAGCUCAAAUGAGUGAUCAGAUUUCUAAAGAGACUGGAAAACCAGUUAUGGAUAAAGGAAAGGAACAGUCGGAAGAUGAGGAGCUAGACUGUGAAAUUAAUUUGUCAGGUGAACUUUCAGAAAUGAAACUGCAGCCCACAUCAAAGAACAGGUAUGUGCAAUAUCAACCAAAUUCACCAAAUCCAUGUACAUUGCAAUCUCAGCACAAGAUAAGUGUACACGCUGCACAAAGCGCAAGCUAUGCACAUGACCAAAGACAUAUCCCACCAAAGCCACAAAUACGUGAUCCUUCCCCUGCAGCUGACUUUAGAUUCAGAGAACGAAUUGAUUACCACCCAAGACAACAUUUUCAUCCUAGAGACUUCGUUCAGCGCUCUCAUUCUCCUCCCACCAGAGAGAGCAUUUACAGAGGUCCGAGCCCUUCAAUACCAGACUUCACAGUGGAAGACCCACGACAGUUUGCUAGACUCAAAAUAUCUCUUGACAAUUUGCUGCCAUACGAUGCUACUGAACAGUUUAAAUAUCAAAUUCUGCUUGAGCAUCUGAAAUUCGAAGAGGCCCUUUUAAUUGCUGAUUCCUACAGCAACUCCCGUUAUCCAUACAGCCAAACAAUGCAAUCGCUGACUGAACAUUAAAUUGCUGACUUGAUGGACGGACCAAAUAUUCGCAGUGGUGACACUCAGGCCUUUCGUAAGUUUGCCCUCAGAGUUCGAGCAUUAGUGGGUAUGCUUGACCAGCUGGAUGAGAAGGGAACUAUUGAAUUGCAGUGUGGUUCACACGUGGCAAGACUCAUGUCUAAACUCCCUCAAGAUCUCAAGGCUAACUUCAAGAGGUAUGUUCACCCCCUCAGAAACCCAAUUCCAAACCUGCUCGACUUUUCACACUGGCUUGAGUUUGAGCUGCAGGUGCAGCCCACUGACUGUAAACUCAAUACUAGUGAAAUGAGGGGACAAAUUAGUCAGCACAAAGAAGCUCCGCGACAGCGUAAGCACACUUUUCAGUCAACAGCCAUUUUGCAUGGUGUGGAUCAGUCAGCAGACCCUCCAGCUGCAAAAUCAUCAGAAUUUCAAAACCCUGGCAAAAUUGUGUACUGUCAUUACUGUGAUAAUAAUCACCACUAUCUUAACCAGUGCAAUAACUUCACACAGCUAACCAGUGAGCUCAAAACUAACUGGAUUAAGUCAAAUAAGAGAUGUUGGAGGUGUGGACGGAAACAUCAGGCAACCCAGUGCAGAUUGAAAGCCACAUGCAAAACUUGCAAUGGCAAACAUCUAACUGUUUUGCAUGACAUCAACAGCAAAUCAACAGAGAUGAAGCACAACCAUGAAAGAUCCCAAGAGAGUCAGAUGUUAUACCUAGAUCGUCCAGCAGGUGGUAGCCAAGUCCUUCUGAAAAUUUGUAAAGUGCUGUUGCGUAAUGGCAAAAAUUCAAUUAUGACUUAUGCUAUUUUGGACGAUGGCUCUGAACGUACAAUCCUGCUUCAUGGUGCAGCACAGCAGCUUAAACUUAAUGGACA
ensembl:lncRNA